rnacentral:rRNA from 1 species
UACGGAGGGUGCGAGCGUUGUCCGGAAUCACUGGGCGUAAAGGGCGCGUAGGUGGCGCGACAAGUCAACGGUGAAAGCUCGGCGCUCAACGCCGAGUCGGCCGUCGAUACUGUCGGGCUGGAGCACUGUAGAGGCAGAUGGAAUUCCGGGUGUAGCGGUGGAAUGCGCAGAUAUCAGGAGGAACACCGAUGGCGAAGGCAGGUCUCUGGGCCACUACUGACGCUGAGAAGCGAAAGCGUGGGGAGCGAACAGG